UACGUAGGGACCAAGCGUUGUUCGGAUUUACUGGGCGUAAAGGGCGCGUAGGCGGCGUGUUAAGUCACUUGUGAAAUCUCUAAGCUUAACUUAGAACGGUCAAGUGAUACUGAUGUGCUAGAGUGCAGAAGGGGCAACCGGAAUUCUUGGUGUAGCGGUGAAAUGCGUAGAUAUCAAGAGGAACACCUGAGGCGAAGACGGGUUGCUGGGCUGACACUGACGCUGAGGCGCGAAAGCUAGGGUAGCAAACGGG
rnacentral:rRNA from 1 species